rnacentral:rRNA from 2 species
GGUUAAGUUAGAAAGGGCGCACGGUGGAUGCCUUGACACUAGGAGUCGAUGAAGGACGGGACUAACGCCGAUAUGCUUCGGGGAGCUGUAAGUAAGCUUUGAUCCGAAGAUUUCCGAAUGGGGAAACCCACUAUACGUAAUGGUAUGGUAUCCUUACCUGAAUACAUAGGGUAUGGAAGACAGACCCAGGGAACUGAAACAUCUAAGUACCUGGAGGAAGAGAAAGCAAAUGCGAUUUCCUGAGUAGCGGCGAGCGAAACGGAAUCUAGCCCAAACCAAGAGGCUUGCCUCUUGGGGUUGUAGGACAUUCUAUACGGAGUUACAAAGGAACGAGGUAGACGAAGCGACCUGGAAAGGUCCGUCACAGAGGGUAA